rnacentral:misc_RNA from 1 species
UCAAAAUAAUUAUUUUUAUAAAAAAAAAAAUUAUCAAUUUAAUUUUUAAAUUAAUUGAAUCAACUCAAAUAGUUAGUUUUAAGCUGAAUUAUUCAAUUUAUCGAAUUGGUUCUCAAUUAAACUAUUGAUUUUGCAUGUCAUCUGAGUUUAGAUAAUUUUAAAUUUUGUGAGGAUAAAGUAGACUGUGAAUUGUCAAGUUUGAUCAGAUGAAAAUUUGACCACUCUAAUUGUGCAAUUGUAUUGUAACAAGUAGUGUUGAAUUGAUGCAGGGGCAUUAUGAAGACGGUAGAG